rnacentral:lncRNA from 1 species
GAUAGCCAAGGCCCUAGCCACUAUUAUGAGAUUAGUUUGCAUUGCUGGCGUGGCUUUUCCCAACAACACACUAUCAUCUUUUUGGUGACUACAUAUAUACUCACCAAUCCAAUCUUUGGUGACUUCAUUGAAUUAAUAAAUAAAAAAAUAUUCAGCUAUAAAACUCUAUGGGUCCUACAUAUUCAGCAAAAGCAUCUUCAAAACCAGCUUCUUUAAAUUCAAAACCGCUUUCUUUCAUCUCUCAUAUCUCGUCUCUAGUAUCUCCUGCAAAGCAACAACAUGUGCAAAGAUUACUUGGCUAUAAAUCACCCCUCAUAAUUUUAUUUCCUUCAUAUAACAAAUGAUAUGUAUCUUGUGGAAAUAAAAUCAAUGUAUCCAGUGGAAAUAAAAUCAACUUGAAGCUCAUAAACUAUCAACAUGUUCAUAACCCGUGACUUUCUAAAAAUAUCAAUUUGAAGCUCAUAAACUAUCAACAUGUUCAUAACCCCUGACUUCAUACCUAUAUCAACUUGAUGAACAAGUUCAUAUAAAAGCUCCCUACAUGUUAUGUAUCACAUACCUUAGUUCAUAAUACAAGAUAAUCCUCUCCUCUCUCCUUCCAUCACUAAAAUGCAAGUAUAGUGUACAAAGUCCACAUCUUUUCCUGCAAGCAGAAAAACACACUUUGGGUAAGUUGGCCAGAAAACAUACAAUAAAAUUUCUUUUGGGUAAGAACCUUAGAAGAAACAAUUAUCAUUCACAUUUAUUAUAGUAAAACCUGGUUCAAGUUCAUAAAUUAAGCAUCUAUUGGCAUUGUUGACACAUAGAAGGUAAAAUCUGAAGCUAGAAACGAGGUUAUAGUGAACAAUAAUGUACUAUGAAUUAAGUUCCCAAGGAAUGGUAGUAUCAUAUAUAGUAAUGGUAGUAUCAGCCCACUUUUAUGGACGAUGCAUAUUCAAUUACUGAUUCACAUUUACAAAAGAAUAUAAGCGUACCUUAUUGAGUGAAUGACAUUUUUUGUCUCCUCAUUCAUACGGUCUUGUAGCUUUCUGUUUCAGAAUGAACACCCUAUAAAAAAACUGCAUAUGACCAGUCAGUUAAGAAUCUUAAGAAGUUCAAAUAGAUUGAUAUGAAUCAAGGACAAUUGUAUACAAAUUAAGAACUGAUAAAGAGGGAAGAUAAAUAUGUAGGGGAAGUUUACCUCCUUCAACACCAGGGCAUCCAACUAUUCUUUUAUCAUGGUAAGACUUGACUAUAGGAGGCGCUUCCUAUAACACAGACAACAUACUAGCCCUAAUACACAAUAAUGGAAGCCCUAAACAUUAUUUAUACAUGUUCUAAACCAUGUAAACAUGCUUCAACUUUACCAGUUGAAAUUGACACAUAAGAGGUGCACAAUACGCAUAUUCUUUUGUCUAUUCAUUCGAUAGAAAGCACUUAACCAUGUUAACCAUAAAAUUCAUAUGGUAAGAGGAGUCUGACAACUAUUAUCUCUUUUUCAUUCAUUCACUCAAAGAUCAAAAUAUAAAUAAAAAACACAUUCCCCUCGAUAGUUAUUAGAAAUCUGCAAUUAGUAAUCAAAAGACUCUUGUUUAAAGUCUAAAAGUAUGAAUGUAAAAGCCCACUUCUACGACAACAAAUGUCAAAGUCAUCUCAUAUAAUUUAUGAAUAAUGAAGCAAGAACAUGAAACAAAAAAAAUUAAGUCUUCAAAGUACCUUAGUACCAAAAGGACUAAUUGGAUUAUUAAUCUCAAGAAUUUCCUCCCCUAGAAAUUAAGUCUUCGGAGUACCUUAGAACCAAAAGUAGACAUAAACCAACAAUAAUAUGAAGUUUGUCUAUCAUAUUCAUCUCAUCACCCAAAAACAGUGAUGUAAGCUGCUUAAUAUAACAGACCACAAAAGCUGGAAGAAGCUAGUUAUGCAGUAAUUCUCUAUUUGGUGUAAAGAAUAUAAAACUCCAAAGAAAUUGCAUUUGAUUGAAGAGUUCAUAAAAUUGAUUUCCCAUCAAGAAUAUACACAGUCACAUUUAAGAUUGAUACAAAAGACAUAUCUACAAGUUAAAUAUGCAGACAUACUGACAAUUAAACAUUAGUGUCUACAUGAACUCCUUUUAUACCAUAUCAAACUAAUAAUAAUCAAGUUAUUAGUAGAGUCCUUACUUAAACCUCAUGAACAUUACAAAGUAUUGAAAGCGAAUAAACAUCUCAGAGAACUGAACUCACCAGGUAAACAACUUCUAUCAAAUAAUUCUUGACAUUAUCAAUUCUGAAACAACAGUAUCAAGAAUAAGCACCCAAAUUAACUAUUAUAUAGUCAGCAAUUAUAAAAUUUCAUCAAAAAAGAAUUUUCAUCAGUUAAAUUAUAUCACCUUCCACCUUUCAUUGUCCUAAAGAUCAUGAAAAUGUCCAUUCCUUUUCUGUUCUUUUGACCAGUGUGAUAAGCUUCAUUCCAACCCUAAAAAAUUAACCCCAAAGUUCAAGUUUUGCGGUGGAGAAAGAAUGCAUGCAAGAGCCUCUAAAACCAAAAUAAAGAAAUUAUGAUGCACAAGAAAAGAAAAGCACAACAUACCAAAGCAAUUAAAUAUAACAACUUCAUUACAGAUGUAAAAACGAAGCAGAUAGGGAGAUACACUGACUUGUUCCUCUUUUCAUUCAUCGGGUCGGAGCACCAGUUAAUCUUUCACAGCCCAUGGUGAUCUGCAAAAUUUUCAAUCGAUCAAUCUUCAUACUACGCUGAAAGAUGAUAUCGGAAACCAAUCAAUGAAGCGAGAUUAGGAUUUAAGAUUUUCAUUACCUGCAGCGUCGACGAAGACACGGAGUUGGAUUAGAUCGGCUUAUGGCCGAAAACAGACAGAGUAAUUUGGAGGCUUGUCGAGCUGUAGUAGCUGAGAGAGAGAGAGAGAGAGAGAGAGAGAGAGAGAGAGAGAGAGAGAGAGAGAGAGAGAGAGAGAGAGAGAGAGAGAGAGAGAGAGAGAGAGAGAGAGAGAGAGGAACUUCGUUAUGCACCACAUAAAAAAAGAGAUAAACUCAUAAAAGUAUAAUUUUAUAACUUUAAACAAUAUUGGUGACAGUCAAACAGUUGUGGUUUUUGCUAAUAGUGACACCAUUAUAAGGAUUGGG